rnacentral:rRNA from 1 species
AGUGAACGCUGGCGGUAGGCCUAACACAUGCAAGUCGAACGGCAGCACAGUAAGAGCUUGCUCUUACGGGUGGCGAGUGGCGGACGGGUGAGGAAUACAUCGGAAUCUACUUUUUCGUGGGGGAUAACGUAGGGAAACUUACGCUAAUACCGCAUACGACCUACGGGUGAAAGCAGGGGAUCUUCGGAGCUUGCGGGAUUGAAUGAGCCGAUGUCGGAUUAGCUAGUUGGCGGGGUAAAGGCCCACCAAGGCGACGAUCCGUAGCUGGUCUGAGAGGAUGAUCGGCCACACUGGAACUGAGACACGGUCCAGACUCCUACGGGAGGCAGCAGUGGGGAAUAUUGGACAAUGGGCGCAAGCCUGAUCCAGCCAUACCGAGUGGGUGAAGAAGGCCUUCGGGUUGUAAAGACCUUUUGUUGGGAAAGAAAAGCAGCAGGUUAAUACCCCGCUGUUCUGACGGUACCCAAAGAAUAAGCACCGGCUAACUUCGUG